rnacentral:tRNA from 1 species
UAGAAAAACAGGACUUGAACCUGCACCANAGAGCCCAAAACCCUCUGUACUCCCACUAUACUAUUCU